UACGAAGGGGGCUAGCGUUGUUCGGAUUUACUGGGCGUAAAGCGCACGUAGGCGGAUCGUUAAGUCGGGGGUGAAAUCCUGGAGCUCAACUCCAGAACUGCCUUCGAUACUGGCGAUCUUGAGUCCGGAAGAGGUGAGUGGAACUCCUAGUGUAGAGGUGGAAUUCGUAGAUAUUAGGAAGAACACCAAUUGCGAAGGCAGCUGGCUACACAGAUAUUGACGCUGAGGCACGAAAGCGUGGGGAUCAAACAGG
rnacentral:rRNA from 1 species